UUCUAUGAUGGCAUGAAAUCUUUGAGACCUGAUUUACUUACUGAUGAAAAAGCUAUAAGCAUUAUUACUCUGAGGAU